rnacentral:snRNA from 1 species
ACCCCUUUGGAAUAAGCAUUCAAGGCACUGUAUUAGUUUAAUAUCUGAUAUGUUCUCUAUAUGAGAACUCUAUAUUAAAUAGAUUUUUGAAAUAGGGAAAGGGAAUAGGAGCUUGCUCCAUCCUUUCCAUGCAUUGACCUGGUAUUGCAGUGUUUCCAGGAAAAAAAAAAAAAAA